rnacentral:rRNA from 1 species
CGUAGGGGGCGAGCGUUGUCCGAAGUUACUGGGCGUAAAGAGCGCGUAGGCGGGCUUCUAAGUGAGGGGUGAAAGGUUCGGGCUCAACCCGGAGAGUGCCUUUCAUACUGGAAGCCUUGAGUGCGGGAGAGGCAAGUGGAAUGGUCGGUGUAGCGGUGAAAUGCGUAGAUAUCGAUCGGAACACCCGUGGCGAAGGCGGCUUGCUGGCUCGCAACUGACGCUGAGGCGCGAAAGCGUGGGGAGCAAACAGGAUUAGAUACCCUGGUAGUCCACGCCGUAAACGAUGAGUGCUAGAUGUCCGGGGUAUCGACCCCCCUGGUGUCGCAGCUAACGCAAUAAGCACUCCGCCUGGGGAGUACGGCCGCAAGGUUG